rfam:Glycine max cultivar Williams 82 chromosome 9, whole genome shotgun sequence.
GAAUGUCACGUCAUCACGUCUUGUCAUAGACAUCUCAUUAUCAUGUCAUCACCUUCAAUGAUGUGAUAAUGAUAUGUCAACGAUUGAGCGUAAUGACGUGACACCAUGU